GAUGAAGAACGCAGCGAAAUGCGAUAAGUAAUGUGAAUUGCAGAAUCCAGUGAAUCAUCGAAUCUUUGAACGCACAUUGCGCCCGCCAGCAUUCUGGCGGGCAUGCCUGUUCGAGCGUCAUUUCAACCCUCGACCUCCCUUUGGGGAAGUCGGCGUUGGGGACCGGCAGCACACCGCCGGCCCUGAAAUGGAGUGGCGGCCCGUCCGCGGCGACCUCUGCGUAGUAAUCCAACUCGCACCGGAACCCCGACGCGGCCACGCCGUAAAACACCCAACUUCUGAACGUUGACCUCGAAUCAGGUAGGACUACCCGCUGAACUUAAGCAUAUCAUAAGCGGAGGA
rnacentral:misc_RNA from 1 species